AAAAGAUUCUUUACAUCUUCCCUCCUUAGAAGUGCCGUGAGUCUUGAAGCUCCCUAUAUUAGCGGUGUCUAGACGGAGGUUGGCUUGUCACGGGGCUCAUUAGUAUUCAUCAUUAAUUCAUAUUUUCAAAGCAACAAAGGAGAAAACAGUCGUAGGAAGAAUAAGGAAAUGUCAAAUCCUGGGAGUAACAUUUCAGUGCAGUGUUGCAACUAAGGUUAGCGGAGGUUGUGCUGUUUAAAAAGCCAAUCCAAACACAGGGAACAGAAGCAAGCACACUCUCUCUUUCCCACUUAACGCCAAAUGCAUUCUCCUAGGUCCCGGCCUGUCUCUUCCUAUCUGGAAGCUUCCUUGCUUCCCAGCCUCACCAACCAAGUCUCCGAGUCCCCGUUGAGAAGCCUCAUUUGGUAAUCAUGACCGCAUACAUUUAUGAAGUGCAUGUUUGUGCCAGGCAAGGUAACUGAAGACAAAAAGGGGACGUGCCUGGCCUGGGGUCACCCAGCUGGUAAAUGUCAUGGCUGAGACUCAAACCCAGGGUGGUGAUAAGGAAAUCAGAUCUACAAUCAAACAAAAACCCUUUGCCUUCUGAGAAGUUUCAGGCAGGAGCAGAGGAGA